rnacentral:tRNA from 1 species
GUUCUUGUAGUUGAAGUACAACGGUGGGUUUUCAAGCCACUAGUCUCGGUUAGAAUCCGGGUGGGAAUU